rnacentral:miRNA from 1 species
UGUGUGUGUGUGUGUGUGUGUUUGCACAUGUGCAUGUGUGUGCGUGUGUGAGACAUACACACACACACACACACACACACACACACACACAC